GUGACAGGCAGCUCCAGACAACGAGGUUUAAUGGUGGUCAAGGGUGGGUGGGGCCCGGACACCUGGGUCCCUCGGACACCUGGGUCCCUCAGACACUUGGGUUCCUCAGACACUCGGGUUCCUCAGACGCUUGGGUUUCUUGGACGCUUGGGUCCCUCGGACACUUGGGUUCCUCAGACGCUUGGGUUCCUUGGACACCUGGGUUUCUUGGACACUUGGGUUUCUCGGACACUCGGGUUUCUCGGACACUCGGGUUCCUCAGACGCUUGGGUUUCUUGGACACUUGGGUUUCUUGGACACUUGGGUUUCUCGGACACUCGGGUUCCUCAGACACUUGGGUUCCUUGGACACUUGGGUCCCUCGGACACCUGGGUCCCUCAGACACUUGGGUUCCUUGGACACUUGGGUUCCUGGGACACCUGGGUCCCGGACACCUGGGUCCCUCAGACACUUGGGUUCCUGGGACACCUGGGUCCCGGACACCUGGGUCCCUCAGACGUUUGGGUUCCUAGGACACCUAGGUCCUGGAUGGCUGGUCCUAGACACCUGGGUGACAGACACCUGGGUCCCAGAUGUUGGGGGGACCCAGGCGUCUGGGUCACCCACAGGGAACAGGGACCCAGGUGUCCGGGUCCAUCAAGGACCCAGGCGUCCGGGUCACCCACAGGGAACAGGGACCCAGGUGUCCUGGCCCCACGGGGGACAAGGAGGGGACCCAGGUGUCUGGGUCACCCAUGGGUAGCAGGGACCCAGGUGUCCUGGCCCCACAGGGACAAGGAGGGGGCCCAGGCGUCCGGGUCACUGGCGGGGGGGUUCGGGGGUGCCGAGCCCCGCGAGCAGGCGAGCGACCUCGUCCCGGAGCUUCUCCUCCUGCGCCGCCGUGUCCGUCGCGAACUGCGACCCUGGGGGCAGAGGUCGGGGGUCGCUGGGGGCCGGGGGCCACCCAGGUUUGGGGGUCCCCCAUGGGGGGGGGCGUGGUUUGGGGGUUUUGGUUUUGGGGUCCCCCCCAUUGGGUUGGGGUUGGGUUUUGGGGUCCCCAGUUGGGUCACGUUGGGUUUGGGGGUCCCCCAGGUGGGUCACGUUCAGGUUCGGGGUUGA
rnacentral:lncRNA from 1 species